rnacentral:lncRNA from 1 species
ACCUACUACGACGACGACGACGACGACGACGACGACGACGACGACGACGACUACACUACUUGUACUGAUAUUAGGAAAAGGAAAGAAAGAAGGAGGAAGUCCAAGAUUGGGGAGCCCAGAUGGCUGUGUCUCCAGUGAAGCCAGAGACAAUAUAGCAAUCAGUUAAACAAUGCCACUAUUGCAACUACAGAGAUCCCCAGCAGACUUCUGCUUUUCUGCCAUCCUGUUACAACAACUUUCUAAAAAUGUAAACAUAAAAGGGGACAAUGCUGGAUGAAAGAAAGUAGGCUGCCUCCUCUGUUUGAGUCUCCGAGACCGGUUAUUAGGAAGUCAAGCUGCUGUGUGUCAUCUGCUUCAUGCUGGAGGGCUGAGAUCAACGAGAAUCAGUGUACACCUGCGCUUAUUUGUAAAGACUUAACAGCUCAGAAGAGAUGCUAAGAUUGUACAGAGGAGUCCCAUGUGUACUGUACUCAGCUUCUUUGUAUAUAUAUGGAUUUUUUAAAGUUGGUUUUAAAGGACUUUGAGGAUUGUGCAAAAUUAGAGGUGAGUACUCUCUUUUGCUUACACAUACCUAAUCAUCACAUACCUAUAUCAUCACAACAGAGAGACAUAGUAAUUAUA